rnacentral:rRNA from 1 species
UACCAGCACCCCGAGUGGUCGGGACGUUUAUUGGGCCUAAAGCAUCCGUCGCCGGUUCUACAAGUCUUCCGUUAAAUCCACCUGCUUAACAGAUGGGCUGCGGAAGAUACUAUAGAGCUAGGAGGCGGGAGAGGCAAGCGGUACUCGAUGGGUAGGGGUAAAAUCCGUUGAUCCAUUGAAGACCACCAGUGGCGAAGGCGGCUUGCCAGAACGCGCUCGACGGUGAGGGAUGAAAGCUGGGGGAGCAAACCGG